rnacentral:lncRNA from 1 species
GAACAGGGUCAUGCUAUAUUAUAUUGCCCAGGCAGAAGAUCUGGAACUCCUGGGCUCGAGCUGUCCUCCCACCUCUGCCUCCCUAACAGCUGGGAUUAUAGGCGUGAGCCACUGCGCCCAGCCUGGAGAGGUUUUUAAAAUAAAAAUGUGAGGCUGGGCGUGGUGGCUCACACCUGUAAUCCCAGCACUUUGGGGGGGCCAAGGCGGGCAGAUCACGAGGUCAAGAGAUCGAGACCGUCCUGGCCAAUAUGGCAAAACCCCGUCCCUACUAAAAAUACAAAAAUUAGCCAGGCGUGGUGGCAGGCGCCUGUAAUCCCAGCUACUUGGGAGGCUUAGGCAGGAGAAUCGCUUGAACCCAGGAGGCAGAGGUUACAGUGAGGCAAGAUUGCACCACCGUACUCCAGCCUGGACAGAGUGAGACUCCGUCUCCAAAAAAAAGAGUGUAUUAAAGUCAUUAAGGUCCCCAGGCUAUAACAACAACAAAAAAAUGUGAUUUACAAAGAGAAAUCUACAGACUUGUCAACCAAAUGUAAUGUGUGAACUCUGGAUCCUACUCUGAAUACUGACCAAAUAUCUGACGACUGGAAGAACUCUUUGGGAAUUUUAUUUUUUCAAUUUGUUA